rnacentral:rRNA from 1 species
UACGAAGGGUGCAAACGUUGCUCGGAAUUAUUGGGCGUAAAGCGCACGUAGGCGGCUUAGCAAGUUGGAUGUGAAAUCCCUCGGCUUAACCAAGGAAGUGCAUCCGAAACUGCAGAGCUUGAGUACUUAAGAGGAUCGCGGAAUUCCCGGUGUAGAGGUGAAAUUCGUAGAUAUCGGGAGGAACACCAGUGGCGAAGGCGGCGACCUGGGCCAAUACUGACGCUGAGGUGCGAAAGCGUGGGGAGCAAACAGG